UACGUAGGAGACGAGCGUUGUCCGGAAUCACUGGGCGUAAAGCGCGUGUAGGCGGAUGAGCAAGUCUGCUGUGAAAGCUCCUGGCUUAACCGGGAGUGGUCGGUGGAAACUGCUCGUCUGGAGGACGGUAGAGGCUGGUGGAAUUCCCGGUGUAGUGGUGAAAUGCGUAGAGAUCGGGAGGAACACCUGUGGCGAAGGCGGCCAGCUGGGCCGGACCUGACGCUGAGACGCGAAGGCGUGGGGAGCGAACGGGG
rnacentral:rRNA from 1 species